GAAUCUUGCGCAAUGGGCGAAAGCCUGCCGCAGCCAUGCCGCGUGAAUGAUGAAGGUCUUAGUAUUGUAAAAUUCUUUCACCGGGGACGAUAAUGACGGUACCCGGCGAAGAAGCCCCGGCUACCUUCGUCCCAGCCGCCGCGGUAAUACGAAGGGGGCUACCGUUGCUCGGAAUUACUGGGCGGAAAGGGCGCGUAGGCGGAGCGUUAAGUCAGAGGUGAAAUCCCAGGGCUCAACCCUGGAACUGCCUUUGAUACUGGCGAUCUUGAGUAUGAGGGAGGUAUGUGGAACUCCGAGUGUAGAGGUGAAAUUCGUAGAUAUUCGGAAGAACACCAGUGGCGAAGGCGACAUACUGGCUCAUUACUGACGCUGAGGCGCGAAAGCGUGGGGAGCAAACA
rnacentral:rRNA from 1 species